GAUGAACGCUGGCGGCGUGCCUAAUACAUGCAAGUCGAGCGAACAGACGAGGAGCUUGCUCCUCUGACGUUAGCGGCGGACGGGUGAGUAACACGUGGAUAACCUACCUAUAAGACUGGGAUAACUUCGGGAAACCGGAGCUAAUACCGGAUAAUAUAUUGAACCGCAUGGUUCAAUAGUGAAAGACGGUUUUGCUGUCACUUAUAGAUGGAUCCGCGCCGCAUUAGCUAGUUGGUAAGGUAACGGCUUACCAAGGCAACGAUGCGUAGCCGACCUGAGAGGGUGAUCGGCCACACUGGAACUGAGACACGGUCCAGACUCCUACGGGAGGCAGCAGUAGGGAAGCUUCCGCAAUGGGCGAAAGCCUGACGGAGCAACGCCGCGUGAGUGAUGAAGGUCUUCGGAUCGUAAAACGCUGUUAUUAGGGAAGAACAAAUGUGUAAGUAACUAUGCACGUCUUGACGGGACCUAAUCAGAAAGCCACGGCUAACUACGU
rnacentral:rRNA from 1 species